UGGGGAAUAUUGCACAAUGGAGGGAACUCUGAUGCAGCGACGCCGCGUGAACGAAGAAGGCUUUCGAGUCGUAAAGUUCUUUUAUAUGGGAAGAUAAUGACGGUACCAUAAGAAAAAGCCCCGGCUAACUACGUGCCAGCAGCCGCGGUAAUACGUAGGGGGCUAGCGUUGUCCGGAAUCACUGGGCGUAAAGGGUUCGCAGGCGGAAAUGCAAGUCAGGGGUAAAAGGCAGUAGCUUAACUACUGUAAGCAUUUGAAACUGCAUAUCUUGAGAAGAGUAGAGGUAAGUGGAAUUUUUAGUGUAGCGGUGAAAUGCGUAGAUAUUAAAAAGAAUACCGGUGGCGAAGGCGACUUACUGGGCUCAUUCUGACGCUGAGGAACGAAAGCGUGGGUAGCAAACAGG
rnacentral:rRNA from 1 species